UCUGGUCGAUCAGGAGGAAAGGGGCGACCAGGGCUUUCUCCAAGCCCUAACUUCUUGCUAGAAAUCUGCAAAUUGAAGCCCCAAUUCAGUUCCAAAUCGAAUUCUAAACACGGAUUAGUGAUCACCUCGUCACAAGAAUCAAAAGGCAAAGAGUCCGGAUCAUCAAGCGGACAAGCCGGAGGGAGUUCAAAGGGAAAAGGCGCGCUUUAAAGUUUUUCAGGUUUUCUAGUAGAUGGGUGAUGAUCAGGCAGGAGCAACUGAACCGAACACUCUAACAAACGCUUCCGCACAUGAUCUUAUGUUUUAAAAACUAUGUAAACAUUUGUGGUCAACGACUCAAUUAUGGUUUUGUACAAACAAUACAUGUAUGUUGUGUCUAGUUAUGGUCUAGAAUAUUAAAA